ACAGCAAAAAUGCAUUCACCAGCUUGCUUAGAAACAUAAGCCAGUGCACACCGGCCGUCGCACGCACACCCGGAAAAGCUCUGUACUCUGCUUAAGUCUCAGAGACGGUCUGCGAGGUGUUUGCAGAACCGCAAACAAGCUCUCACCCACAUCCUACACUCCCGAGGGAUCUCCUCCAACAUCCACCCCCCACAGCGCCUAUCCAGAGAGACGCCUCGUGCUGCCGGAGGGGACCGGCGAAGGAGAGGGGCACAGCAGCAGAAGGAAACAGUCUUUCUGGAUGGCUGCAGGUUUUUCUUCCUCCAUCUGAUCUCACCGCCCAAGUGUGACACACCGGUGGCUGCCACGCCGACAGGCAACAGCAAAUCCGCACAACGCACGUGUCGGCGUUGGCGUCCCCCUGCACACGAGUCGGCGGGGAGAGCGGCGCGGGGUUUCACUCGACAAGGGACAGCGCCAAGGAGGUCUUUCUCGAGGAGAGAGAAAGAGCCGACAUAAAGGAGCAGCUGGAGGAGUUUUGGUGAAGUGGAGGUGUUUAAGUAUCCUUACGGGAACCCUCGAGGUUUAAUGAAGCAUGGUGCUUUCUAAGAAGAUGUGACCAGACGACUCUUUGGAAGCAUGAGCAGGAAGUGCUGUUAUAUGGAGCAUCCUCCCCCACCAGCCACUGCACACAUGGGGCACGUCUACAUGUGCACUAAUGCGCUUUUCCUAAUGCGCAUUAAAUUUAGUACCUCCAAGGCAAUGUGCUAAAUAAAUGUGCAUUAGGCUGCCCUAACGGGCAGCACCGAAAGCACACGUUUUUAAAGUGAUGCUUAAUGCACAGCAGCCUAUUUUACUGCACAUCAGUGUAACUGCGUGUUUUUUACAUGAUGCUUUAAUGCACAGUAAAAUGGGCUACUGCGCACUAAAGUGCAUGAGUAGAUGUGCCCGCGAUGCCCAACUGGGGGCUGCACUUGUUGUUUAAGCACACGGCUUUGGUGCUGCAGUCUCUGCAGAGCUUUGCUUGAGUCCAGCGUCCAAUGCAUGGUCUUCACCUCCACGCUCCAAGCGCUCCUUGAGACGGUCCCUAAGCACUUUAGAAACUGAAUGCAGGGUCGAUUUCCCUGACUUCAGACUAACACGCCGAGCUACCUCCCUCUGCUUUAGAAACUGCUGCUCCUGCUGUGACUAUGACCUUCCAUAUCAGCUGCGCUCCACUGGAACAAGGACGCCGUUAAUCGAUAGGGUCGCAGCCUGGCAAACAGAGCUUUUAUGGGAGCGCAACCGCUGUUACGGAGCAGAGGGAGAGAAAUGACCAGGAAGCUCACAAAUGAGAUGCAAAAAUAAUUCCGUUGCCUAAGUUUCCCUUCAAUAAAUUCUUCACCAGAAACAGACCCACCCACACACAUU